GAGUAGGUAGUCUAAUGGUAAGGCAACUGAUUGUAGCUUAGUCGUGCAUUGCACAUUGGGAGUUCGAAUCUCUCCUUGCUCA